rnacentral:rRNA from 1 species
UACACGACCGUACCGCAAACCGACACUGGUGCGCGAGAUGAGUAUUCUAAGGCGCUUGAGAGAACUCAGGAGAAGGAACUCGGCAAAUUGACACCGUAACUUCGGAAGAAGGUGUGCCUUUAGUAGGUGAACCUGUACAAGGGGAGCCCAAUGAGGUUGCAAAAAAUCGGUGACUGCGACUGUUUAAUAAAAACACAGCACUCUGCAAACACGAAAGUGGACGUAUAGGGUGUGACGCCUGCCCGGUGCUGGAAGAUUAAAUGAUGGGGUGCAAGCUCUUGAUUGAAGUCCCAGUAAACGGCGGCCGUAACAAUAACGGUCCUAAGGUAGCGAAAUUCCUUGUCGGGUAAGUUCCGACCUGCACGAAUGGCGUAACGAUGGCCACACUGUCUCCUCCUGAGACUCAGCGAAGUUGAAAUGUUUGUGAUGAUGCAAUCUCCCCGCGGAAAGACGGAAAGACCCCAUGAACCUUUACUGUAGCUUUGUAUUGGACUUUGAACAGAUCUGUGUAGGAUAGGUGGGAGGCUUUGAAGUGUGGUCGCUAGAUCGCAUGGAGCCAACGUUGAAAUACCACCCUGGUGUGUUUGAGGUUCUAACCUAGGCCCGUAAUCCGGGUCGGGGACAGUGCAUGGUAGGCAGUUUGACUGGGGCGGUCUCCUCCCAAAGCGUAACGGAGGAGUUCGAAGGUACGCUAGGUACGGUCGGACAUCGUGCUAAUAGUGCAAUGGCAUAAGCGUGCUUAACUGCGAGACUGACAAGUCGAGCAGAUGCGAAAGCAGGACAUAGUGAUCCGGUGGUUCUGUAUGGAAGGGCCAUCGCUCAACGGAUAAAAGGUACUCUGGGGAUAACAGGCUGAUACCGCCCAAGAGUUCAUAUCGACGGCGGUGUUUGGCACCUCGAUGUCGGCUCAUCUCAUCCUGGGGCUGUAGCCGGUCCCAAGGGUAUGGCUGUUCGCCAUUUAAAGAGGUACGUGAGCUGGGUUUAAAACGUCGUGAGACAGUUUGGUCCCUAUCUUCCGUGGGCGCUGCAGAUUUGAGGAAGCCUGCUCCUAGUACGAGAGGACCGGAGUGGACACACCUCUGGUGUAUCGGUUGUCACGCCAGUGGCAUUGCCGAGUAGCUAUGUGUGGAAGAGAUAACCGCUGAAAGCAUCUAAGCGGGAAACUCGUUUCAAGAUGAGAUCUGCCGGGGCCUUGAGCCCCCUAAAGAGUCGUUCAAGACCAGGACGUUGAUAGGUCGGGUGUGGAAGCGCAGUAAUGCGUUAAGCUAACCGAUACUAAUUGCUCGUGCGGCUUGACC